rnacentral:rRNA from 1 species
UACGUAGGGUGCAAGCGUUAUCCGGAAUUAUUGGGCGUAAAGAGCUCGUAGGCGGUUUGUCGCGUCUGCUGUGAAAACUGGAGGCUCAACCUCCAGCCUGCAGUGGGUACGGGCAAACUAGAGUGCGGUAGGGAGAUUGGAAUUCCUGGUGUAGCGGUGGAAUGCGCAGAUAUCAGGAGGAACACCGAUGGCGAAGGCAGAUCUCUGGCCGUAACUGACGCUGAGGAGCGAAAGCAUGGGAGCGAACAGG